rnacentral:tRNA from 1 species
GUGGCCAUGGUGUAAUGGUAACACAGAGGAUUGUGGUUCCUCUGAUACGGGUUCAAUUCCCGUUGGCCACCCCA